CAGUAGCCACGGUAAUACGUAGGGGGCAAGCGUUGUCCGGAAUCAUUGGGCGUAAAGCGCGUGUAGGCGGCUCGAUAAGUCUGCUGUGAAAGUCCAGGGCUCAACCCUGGAAUGCCGGUGGAAACUGUCGAGCUCGAGUCCGGAAGAGGCAAGUGGAAUUCCUGGUGUAGCGGUGAAAUGCGCAGAUAUCAGGAGGAACACCAAUGGCGAAGGCAGCUUGCUGGGACGGUACUGACGCUGAGACGCGAAAGCGUGGGGAGCAAACAGGAUUAGAUACCCCAGUAGUCCCUGUCUCUUAUAC
rnacentral:rRNA from 1 species